AUUGAACGCUGGCGGCAGGCCUAACACAUGAAAUUCGACCGAGCGGCGGACGGGUGAGUAUUGUAUGGGGACUGCUCGAUAGAGGGGGAUAACUCCUGGAAACGGUAGCUAAUACCGCAUACUAUCGGAUAACCCAUAUGGUAUUAGCUAGUAGGUGAGGUAAUGGCUCACUUAGGCGAAGAUCCCUAGCUGGUCUGAGAGGAUGAUCAGCCACACUGGGACUGAGACACGGCCCAGACUCCUACGGAGGCAGCAGUGGGGAAUAUUGCACAAUGGGCGCAAGCCUGAUGCAGCCAUGCCGCGUGUAUGAAGAAGGCCCUAGGGUUGUAAAGUACUUUCAGUCGGGAGGCGUUACCGACAGAAGAAGCACCGGCUAACUCCGUGCCAGCAGCCGCGGUAAUAC
rnacentral:rRNA from 1 species